rnacentral:rRNA from 1 species
UGAGGUGUGGAUAGGGGAGAAAUUCCAAUCGAACCCGGAGAUAGCUGGUUCUCCUCGAAAUAGCUUUAGGGCUAGCCUCGUUUUAGUCUUAUGGAGGUAGAGCACUGAAUUUCCGCGGGGGCGUCAAAGCUUACCAAAGAAUAUCAAACUCCGAAUGCCAUGUAGAUGAUGAACGGGAGUCAGACUGCACGAGAUAAGUUGGGCGGUCAAAAGGGAAAGAGCCCAGACCACCGGCUAAGGUCCCAAAGUGUGUGUUAAGUGGAAAAGGAUGUGGGAAUUCGAAGACAACUAGGAUGUUGGCUCAGAAGCAGCCAUACAUUCAAAGAGUGCGUAACAGCUCACUAGUCGAGAGUCCCUGCGCCGAAAAUGUCCGGGGCUGAAACACAACACCGAAGCCGUGGACUCCGUAAGGAGUGGUAGAGGAGCAUUCUUAAAACCGACGAAGCUGUACCGGUAAGGAGCAGUGGAGGGAUAAGAAGAGAGAAUGCCGGAAUGAGUAGCGAGAGGAAGGUGGGAAUCCUUCCGGCCGAAUAUCUAAGGUUUCCAGAGUAAAGCUGAUCUGCUCUGGGUAAGUCGGGGCCUAAGGAGAGGUCGCAAGACGUAUCCGAUGGACAACAGGUUUAGAUUCCUGUACCGCAUAUAAACAGAACUGUGGGGACGCAUGUGGAAAGCAUAAGCCGGGAAUGGAAAGACCGGUACAAGCGAGGUAGGUGUGUGACAGGCAAAUCCGUCAUAUAAGCCGAAGACGUGAUGUGGAGCGAAAUUAAGUAGUGAAGUAUGUGAGCCAUGUGCCGAGAAAAGCCGCUAUUGUUUUAUAUGUGCCCGUACCGUAAACCGACACAGGUGGAUGAGGAGAGAAUCCUAAGGCCGACGGAAGAAGCAUUGUUAAGGAAUUCGGCAAAAUGACCCCGUAACUUCGGGAGAAGGGGUGCCCACUGAAUGGUGGGCCGCAGAGAAUAGGCUCAAGCAACUGUUUAGCAAAAACACAGGUCUAUGCGAAACCGAAAGGUGAAGUAUAUGGGCUGACGCCUGCCCGGUGCUGGAAGGUUAAGAGGAGAGGUUAGCGCAAGCGAAGCUUUGAAUUUAAGCCCCAGUAAACGGCGGCCGUAACUAUAACGGUCCUAAGGUAGCGAAAUUCCUUGUCGGGUAAGUUCCGACCCGCACGAAAGGCGUAAUGAUUUGAGCGCUGUCUCGACAAUGCACCCGGUGAAAUUGAAAUACCAGUGAAGAUGCUGGUUACCUGCGCCAGGACGGAAAGACCCCAUGGAGCUUUACUCCAGCUUGAUACUGGGAUUCGGUACUGCAUGUACAGGAUAGGUGGGAGACUGAGAACUAUGAACGCCAGUUUGUAGGGAGUCGCUGUUGGGAUACCACCCUUGCGGUAUUGGAUUUCUAACCUGCAGCCGUGAACCGGCUGGGGGACAAUGUCAGGCGGGGAGUUUGACUGGGGCGGUCGCCUCCGAAAGGGUAUCGGAGGCGCUCAAAGGUUCCCUCAGAAUGGUCGGAAACCAUUUGAAGAGUGCAAAGGCAGAAGGGAGCUUGACUGCGACACCGACGGGUGGAGCAGGUACGAAAGUAGGACUUAGUGAUCCGGUGGUAUGAAAGUGGGAUUGCCAUCGCUCAACGGAUAAAAGCUACCCUGGGGAUAACAGGCUUAUCACUCCCAAGAGUUCACAUCGACGGAGUGGUUUGGCACCUCGAUGUCGGCUCAUCGCAUCCUGGGGCUGUAGUAGGUCCCAAGGGUUGGGCUGUUCGCCCAUUAAAGCGGUACGCGAGCUGGGUUCAGAACGUCGUGAGACAGUUCGGUCCCUAUCCGGCGCGGGCGGAGGAUAUUUGAGAGGAGCUGUCCUUAGUACGAGAGGACCGGGAUGGACGGACCACUGGUGUAUCUGUUGUCGACCAACGGCAUGGCAGAGUAGCCAAGUCUGGAAGGGAUAAACGCUGAAGGCAUCUAAGCGUGAAGCCCCCCUCAAGAUGAGAUAUCCCUCCUUCGGGAGUAAGACCCCUUGAAGACUACAAGGUAGAUAGGGCAGAGGUGGAAGUGUGGCAACACAUGGAGCUGACUGUUACUAAUAGGUCGAGGGCUUGAUUAA